UGUGAGCUCGAUGAGUAGGGCGGGACACGUGGUAUCCUGUCUGAAUAUGGGGGGACCAUCCUCCAAGGCUAAAUACUCCUGACUGACCGAUAGUGAACCAGUACCGUGAGGGAAAGGCGAAAAGAACCCCGGCGAGGGGAGUGAAAAAGAACCUGAAACCGUGUACGUACAAGCAGUGGGAGCCUCUUAAUGGGGUGACUGCGUACCUUUUGUAUAAUGGGUCAGCGACUUAUAUUCUGUAGCAAGGUUAACCGAAUAGGGGAGUCGAAGGGAAACCGAGUCUUAACUGGGCGUUAAGUUGCAGGGUAUAGACCCGAAACCCGGUGAUCUAGCCAUGGGCAGGUUGAAGGUUGGGUAACACUAACUGGAGGACCGAACCGACUAAUGUUGAAAAAUUAGCGGAUGACUUGUGGCUGGGGGUGAAAGGCCAAUCAAACCGGGAGAUAGCUGGUUCUCCCCGAAAGCUAUUUAGGUAGCGCCUCGUGAAUUCAUCUCCGGGGGUAGAGCACUGUUUCGGCAAGGGGGUCAUCCCGACUUACCAACCCGAUGCAAACUGCGAAUACCGGAGAAUGUUAUCACGGGAGACACACGGCGGGUGCUAACGUCCGUCGUGAAGAGGGAAACAACCCAGACCGCCAGCUAAGGUCCCAAAGUCAUGGUUAAGUGGGAAACGAUGUGGGAAGGCCCAGACAGCCAGGAUGUUGGCUUAGAAGCAGCCAUCAUUUAAAGAAAGCGUAAUAGCUCACUGGUCGAGUCGGCCUGCGCGGAAGAUGUAACGGGGCUAAACCAUGCACCGAAGCUGCGGCAGCGACACUAUGUGUUGUUGGGUAGGGGAGCGUUCUGUAAGCCUGUGAAGGUGGCCUGUGAGGGUUGCUGGAGGUAUCAGAAGUGCGAAUGCUGACAUAAGUAACGAUAAAGCGGGUGAAAAGCCCGCUCGCCGGAAGACCAAGGGUUCCUGUCCAACGUUAAUCGGGGCAGGGUGAGUCGACCCCUAAGGCGAGGCCGAAAGGCGUAGUCGAUGGGAAACAGGUUAAUAUUCCUGUACUUGGUGUUACUGCGAAGGGGGGACGGAGAAGGCUAUGUUGGCCGGGCGACGGUUGUCCCGGUUUAAGCGUGUAGGCUGGUUUUCCAGGCAAAUCCGGAAAACCAAGGCUGAGGCGUGAUGACGAGGCACUACGGUGCUGAAGCGACAAAUGCCCUGCUUCCAGGAAAAGCCUCUAAGCAUCAGGUAACAUCAAAUCGUACCCCAAACCGACACAGGUGGUCAGGUAGAGAAUACCAAGGCGCUUGAGAGAACUCGGGUGAAGGAACUAGGCAAAAUGGUGCCGUAACUUCGGGAGAAGGCACGCUGAUAUGUAGGUGAAGCGACUUGCUCGUGGAGCUGAAAUCAGUCGAAGAUACCAGCUGGCUGCAACUGUUUAUUAAAAACACAGCACUGUGCAAACACGAAAGUGGACGUAUACGGUGUGACGCCUGCCCGGUGCCGGAAGGUUAAUUGAUGGGGUUAGCGGCAACGCGAAGCUCUUGAUCGAAGCCCCGGUAAACGGCGGCCGUAACUAUAACGGUCCUAAGGUAGCGAAAUUCCUUGUCGGGUAAGUUCCGACCUGCACGAAUGGCGUAAUGAUGGCCAGGCUGUCUCCACCCGAGACUCAGUGAAAUUGAACUCGCUGUGAAGAUGCAGUGUACCCGCGGCAAGACGGAAAGACCCCGUGAACCUUUACUAUAGCUUGACACUGAACAUUGAGCCUUGAUGUGUAGGAUAGGUGGGAGGCUUUGAAGUGUGGACGCCAGUCUGCAUGGAGCCGACCUUGAAAUACCACCCUUUAAUGUUUGAUGUUCUAACGUUGGCCCGUAAUCCGGGUUGCGGACAGUGUCUGGUGGGUAGUUUGACUGGGGCGGUCUCCUCCUAAAGAGUAACGGAGGAGCACGAAGGUUGGCUAAUCCUGGUCGGACAUCAGGAGGUUAGUGCAAUGGCAUAAGCCAGCUUGACUGCGAGCGUGACGGCGCGAGCAGGUGCGAAAGCAGGUCAUAGUGAUCCGGUGGUUCUGAAUGGAAGGGCCAUCGCUCAACGGAUAAAAGGUACUCCGGGGAUAACAGGCUGAUACCGCCCAAGAGUUCAUAUCGACGGCGGUGUUUGGCACCUCGAUGUCGGCUCAUCACAUCCUGGGGCUGAAGUAGGUCCCAAGGGUAUGGCUGUUCGCCAUUUAAAGUGGUACGCGAGCUGGGUUUAGAACGUCGUGAGACAGUUCGGUCCCUAUCUGCCGUGGGCGCUGGAGAACUGAGGGGGGCUGCUCCUAGUACGAGAGGACCGGAGUGGACGCAUCACUGGUGUUCGGGUUGUCAUGCCAAUGGCACUGCCCGGUAGCUAAAUGCGGAAGAGAUAAGUGCUGAAAGCAUCUAAGCACGAAACUUGCCCCGAGAUGAGUUCUCCCUGA
rnacentral:rRNA from 1 species